rnacentral:rRNA from 1 species
AUUGAACGCUAGCGGGAUGCCUUACACAUGCAAGUCGAACGGCAGCACGGACUUCGGUCUGGUGGCGAGUGGCGAACGGGUGAGUAAUGUAUCGGAACGUGCCCAGUAGCGGGGGAUAACUACUUGAAAGAGUAGCUAAUACCGCAUACGCCCUACGGGGGAAAGGGGGGAUCGCAAGACCUCUCACUAUUGGAGCGGCCGAUAUCGGAUUAGCUAGUUGGUGGGGUAAAGGCCCACCAAGGCGACGAUCCGUAGCUGGUUUGAGAGGACGAACGGGCACGCUGGGACUGAGACACGGCCCAGACUCCUACGGGAGGCAGCAGUGGGGAAUUUUGGACAAUGGGGGCAACCCUGAUCCAGCCAUCCCGCGUGUGCGAUGAAGGCCUUCGGGUUGUAAAGCACUUUUGGCAGGAAAGAAAUCGCAUGGGUUAAUACCCUGUGUGGAUGACGGUACCUGCAGAAUAAGCACCGGCUAACUACGUGCCAGCCGCCGCAGUAA